rnacentral:lncRNA from 1 species
GAGGGAAAGAGGCUCCCUAGAAGUCUUAAGACAGGUGGAGCAGAGCUGAGACCUGGCACAGAGCAGGGCCUGGAACCUGGAGCUGCUUCCCCAAGGGACGCUGCAGGCAGAGCCCUGGACAGUGAUACACGCCAGCUCUGUCCUUCUGGCUGCAGACUAAAGUCGUUCUUUGUUUACUCUGAGAAGCAGGUGGUCCAUGGUGCAGAUCUCACGGCAUUCAGGUCCCUGUGACCGGAAGAGCACUGUCCGGAGGGAAGCGAUGGGUGUCUGGGCGGAUCUUUCUGCACUGGACCCAGAGUCACGGAGUGGGAGGCUGGCCCACCCCAGAGCUCACCCCAGACCCCUGCCUGGCUCCUACCAGGGGCCAGCGCUUCCCGGAGACCCUGCCCAGCAGCCACUCCCCAGGGUGCUGUGUGCAGAUGGCUGACUCUGGAGAGCUCAGGGAUCCUCCCGCCUGCAGCAUCCACCGGCUUGGGGAGACUCUCGGGAAUCCUGCAGCAAGGCCUGUUUCCCCUCUGUAACGCAAUGGUCUUCAGAGCUAAUUCACCCUACAAGCUUUCUACACGGGACACCACUUGACGGGGGAGAAGCCAGGGUUCCAGGAUCUGCACUGCAACGCACUUCGCCAUGGCAAGGGUUCUGGGCUAGGUGGGGGAUGUUUGCACAACGAUACGUCUCAUCCCGUGACCUGCAACACCUCCCGGGGUUCCAGCGGUCAAACUCCUAAGGCGAAUUUUAACGGAAGGCCUCUCCUCACCGGGCUGUGUCCCGCUGCUCCUGUCCUCUCCCACCCCGGCCCUCUGCACCUUCCCCCGCUGAGCGGCCUGGGCAUCGCCUGUACCGCAGGCCCGCGGUGAGUCUAACCCUGUUCGUCACGGACGCCGUGGGCAGAGCCCUCUCAGCCCCGGUUCCGGCUCCAGCUGGGCAGCGCUCAGGAAGCCCGCACAGGCUGAGGUCUGGGAGUCAGGGCAAAGCUCAGAGGCCCCGGCUGCCCUGUUGGCGGGGCUGGAGGAGGAAGCGCCGUCUGUGUUGGGUGCCUGGACGACCACCAGCCGGCCUCUGCCCACUGCUCUGCCUUCUGCCGGACUGGGCCGCGCUGCUUUCCGCAGAGAUCCAUGCUCAGGGUGUGGGAGCCGCGGGCUUCGGCUGCCGGAGGAGGCAGCGCAGCUGUGUUCCCGUGAAACUGAUUUCCACAGUGGGCAGCAGGCAGGACCCGGCCGUCCACCUCGGGGACCACGUGGGACUCCCCAGUGCGCGUCCCCCGGGCGGCAAUGCCAGUCCAGGUGUGCCGGUCACCACAGGAGGAAAGAACUCAGAAGCCCUCUGCAAUUCCUGGGUGCUGAUAUACACCACAGGCUGAUCGCUUCAGUAACAAAGCCAGGACUAGGCCAGGCGACCCUGCACAGCUGCUGCGGACUCAGGAUGAAUGAGGCCCUUGUAGUGCAAAUUCUCGCAAUUUUGGUAGGAGGCUUAGCAGCUUUAGUAGCUCCUUUCUGUCAAUGGGAACUUUUUGCUUCAACAGACAGAGCUGAUGCUGUGAGUACAGAAAUCCUGUGGGAGGGGCGGGCAAGAUGUCCGCAGCAGUGUCCAUGCACUCCAGGCCACAGUCCUCCUGUAAUCUUGCUGUCUCCCACCUGGCUGUUUUUCUAG